GAUCAGGUGUGGUAAUCCAACCGACCACCUAACAGGACCCUUGGCGACGGGCGCACUAACAGUUGCAUCCCUGCUGUUGGAGAGGCGGCGCGCUGUCUGUGAGCUUGGCAGUGGGGGCUCCUGUGGUGACGGCCGGACUGGGAGACUGGAGUGCCUCAUCAUGAAUAACAUGCAUGUGGCUCGGCUUGCAAAUGCAUGUGACACAUGUUUGAUCCCAGAGUCAGACAAAGGCCUGGGUAAUCCACGUUAGCAGUCUCCCAGGCAGGCGCUCCACUUGGCUCCUGUCAAACAGACGCCCAGCAGGCAGUUCUGGAUUGUGUUUACCGCACCAGUUUUGUUUUCUGUCAGUCCGCACAUGGCUGCAACUGUGUUCUAGCUAUAGCCGGUGGACACGUACGACCUUCACCGCACGGAGAUGGAGCUGAAAGCCUGCUGAGUUUCCACUCUCGCAUUACAGCUGGGAUCUUUUGUUACUUUAGUUACUAAAAAACUCUUCUGUUCUAGGCUUUAUCCUUUGUAAAGUGACAGUCUGACAAAGACAGAAAAGAAGAUUCUGAGUGCUUUAGCAUUCUUGUCCCUGUGUACAUUUAAAUAAAGCCCCUGUUGUCUGUGAGUCUGUUCAUUCUCUGA